ensembl:lncRNA
GAGAGAAUGAGAGAGAGAGAGAGAGAGAGAAGACGCAUUUUCAUGUAAGUCAGUCAGGACAUGUUUGUGCUGCUUUGUAAAAGCCGCCUGUUUUGCAUCGUGCAAAAGACAUACGCAGAUCAUCUCGCUCAUAAAAUCGAUUCGUUUAAUUCCCAAUAAAGAUACUACUUGUGAUAUUUAACAUUCUAGACGAUAUUUAUUCACCAACCGCACGAGAGUGUGUUUUCUCCCACAUCUUUAAAACUUUCCCUAAACAUCUGCUGCUAUCUCAGGAAUGAGGCCUUGCGAAGGGAAAACGGAUAGGAUAAGAGUCCAAAAAAAGGACGGCCCGAGUCUGUCUGAAAGCAUGGAAGUGUCUUGAUUACACACUCCCAGCUCUGUCACUGCUCUGAAGAGGAUUCUGGGACAUCUGCGGCACACAAGAAAGCGACUCUGGAGCUGAAAGUAGCUUCUGUUACAGAAGAAGCGUCCAGACUCGUGCUAUAAAUCUAUAAAUGUUUACAGCACGCGGUACGUUUUAAUUUACAGAUCAUUCUUCAAGUAUGUAAAACGUAAGACGCGGGUGUCUCUUUGACAUCCAUUUGUGAGCGUGACUGAAACCAGUAGCACCAUUUUCUAGCAAGCUAGCUAACAUUAGGCUAACGAUUAUUUUGAGUAAUUAAAAUAACUAGCCACAUUUUGUAGCAAGCCAGCUAACAUUCAAAUACGUGUAUAACUAGCAACAUGUAUACUAAGUAUCGCAAAGUGUAAUUAAACCCAGUUUAGCUUGCUAAUAUAUGUUUUAAUUAAUAACAGCAGCUAAGUUUACUAUCAGGCUAACCUUAGAUUAGCAACCGAGCUAACAUUAUGACUGCAUGACAAGCGAAAGGUACAAAGGUUUAGUACCCUUGGUUCGCACACAGAACUGUAAAAACAAUGCUGAAAGUCUGACUACAUUCAUCAUGUCGCUGCACGUAGCAACUCCAGCAGUUGCUCCUCAUAACGAUCCUCAUCCCCUGGUGGUGAUAGAACAUCAGUCCAGCAUGUCAUUCCUGUUAUUUUUAAAGAACGUAAUGCGAUAGCUAGUUCAGCUUUGACAGGAACUCAUGCGGUAGACGUCAAGGAAGCUCCCUCCCUCCCUGCCUCAGUGAGCAGAUGGAAAAGUGAAAGAGGGGAUAUGAAUAACCACGUGAGGUUCUGGUCAUCUCUGCGCUUAGGGGAUUUUUAGGGGGACAAAAGGGUAACAGAAUUAUUCAUGAAGCAUGACUAAGUAUUCUUUGAUUUAAGAGGGUGAGCAAUGACGAUGGCACGCUAGCUGUCGUCCUCGCUGCUCUCUCUUUCUCUCGUUCUCUCUUUCUACCACUGCCUUGUUUAUGCAACAAUCAUCCAGCACUUGAAAUAAUGAGUGGUGGGUGGAAUACGCUUCUUCGUUCAGACGAGAAAAUAAAACGGCGACAUGCAGGAAAAUCGACAAAUUAAAAUUGUUUUUUUUGUUGUUGUUGUUUAUUUUUAUGUUCUUUAGUAAGGGGCACGAUAGCUUAGUGCCUCGCACUUCCAGGGUUGGGGGUUCGAAUCCUGCCUCCGCCGUGUGCACGUUUUCCCCUUGAUUCGGGGGUUUCCUCUGGGUACUCCGGUUUCCUCCCCCAGUCCAAAGACAUGCGUUGUAGGUUUAUCGGCAUUCCAAUUGCAUUUUUGCUCUACGGCAUUUCUUUGCAAGCGUCUAAAACUUUUGCACAGUAUUGUAUAUAUAUAUAAAAAACACAAUAUUUGAGAUAUUCCAAAUCGAAUUUUUGUUAUUUACUUUAUUAAAUGAAAGUUCAUCACAAGUGUUAUGUUAUGUUAUGAACAAGUGUUAUGUUCAUCCUAAUUAGAUGCUCUCUACAUAAUAUGUCCCGCCCCUGGGGGCGUGUUUUCACACAUUAUUCUCUUUUUACAUUCAUCCAACCAUUUUUUUUUUUCUUCUGGAAGAACACGGGGUCUGUGCAAGCUGUUGGUAUUUUGGGAGGAGCGGUUUACCAGCUUGGGGCCGUUCAAUGCCGGAAUGUCGCCCAGUAAGAAUUCCAUCUCUAUACACCGUCACGUCAUCUCUGUCAGUAAGAGUCAGUGAUAUCGCUUUAUCCAUCACGACGGCACGUCAGACAUCUCCCAGCGUCAACCUCUCGGUCACCAUUGGCGCCAACGACGGCUGACCUCGGCUCAAACACGUUUGGCGUAACUUCAAAAACACACGCCGUCUCGUCUUCUAUACGGUCCUGAUUGAAGCGUUCAGGCGUGGGUGAAAGCGACGGUGAGAAAUCCUCUCACGGUUAUAAUGCUCUCGCUGACUUCUCUCUGUUCUCCGUAUUUAGCUAGUUCGCCAAGCUACCACGUCGAGUUUACAUUCGGUAGGGCGUAACUUGACCGCUAUUGUCCGUUACUCCGACUUCCUGUUUCAAAAAGGAACGCGUCGACAUCCAGAAUCAAAUCACAGCUCUCGAGAGACUUUCUUCCUCGCAGGGCGAACUUGCACAGGAUAUGAGCGAGAGAUGCUUUAUCAUUCUUCAGAAUUUGUUAUCGUUCCCCAGAGAUAAGACAAGCAUUCCGUUUGGUUUGAGAGGCCUGAGCGAGGACGCUAGACCAGGAUCAGAAAUGCAGAAUCAUUAUAGAGAUUAGAGUCGUGAUGACGCUGCUCUCCUGGGCCUAUGAAAGAUUUGUCCGUGACGAUGGUCAACAUUUCUACAAGAUCAGGUCAGAAGUUCUGAAAAGACAGCAGCGAUGAACGAGGACCGUAGUGAAGGAGUACUCCAGCAGCUUUCUCGUGAAUAUCUCUUCAUAUCUCCUCAUGAAUAUCUCUUCACUGUAUCUGUAGAGUAUGAGUCAUUCCCAAUGAAUGGAAGUCUAAGGGCAGAUGUCGAAUCCUGCCUAGAAACAUUCAGAGCAUGAAAUGAAUGCAUUCUUAGUAAAAAGGUGUUUGUAAAUGAAGCACUAAAAUCUAUCAUUCAGAAUGUUCUCAGAAAGAAGAAUGGAUUUAUUCCACUCUUAAAACAUAGAAAAACACGGCUCUGUAGCGAACGGCUGGGAAUAGCGUGAGUGAUGACUUGUUUUGCAGAUUGUUCCACAACAUUAAAAGGUAACUCUAAACGGAUAAUACUGCAUACGUGUUGUUCUUUAAUUAAUCCCAAUAAAAAACAAAAAACAAUUACAACCAUUGGCAAACCGCUGUUGUAGCGGAUGAUGUGUCGUCACGGGAAAUAAUUAACGUUCUUGUGAAGUGCCGUGAAACGUGCAGCGUUAUUCGACGUGUUGACGUAAUUUCCACUGAAACAGGAAGUCAGGGUGGGACAUAUCAAGUGGCCCCUCCCCCUUUUCAACUGGUUUCCGCCACCCUCGAUACAAGGAAUUUUACCCGGAUGCUUGUCGGCAGUAAUCACAUCCGUACACACCUCUGAUGAAGUGAAUACACUGAAGAUCAGUGGUCACCAACCCUCGUCCUGGAGGUCUACCUUCUCUCAGGUUUCAUCUCCAACCAAAAUCGAACACACCUGGUUUAGAUGAGCAAGAACUUCUUAAGGCAAUGAUUAGAUGGUCAGGGGUACGAUUAUGGUUGGAGCUAAAGCCUUCAGGAAGGUAGAUCUCCAGGAACAUUCAGGAGAAAGUUGGUGGAGUAUUCCUUUAACCCCGCAAAUCAUCUUAAAGCAUAUUAUUACCAAACUAAUAGGAGGUACAGUAUGCAGCUACGAAGGUGAGAUGUGCAAGUCUCAAUGAGGAAAAGCCUUGCCGGAUUUGAAGCCGUUCUGUGGCACGGGAUUCCGUUGCACCAGAUAUCCUAUUGCCUCCUCUGCUCCCGUUCCCAGUGCUGCAGUUUUGCUGCACUACCAUCCUGAUGAGACAGCUAAAGUGAUUCGAGUGCGACUGGACGUGCUGCCUUGUUCUCAGAUCCAAAUCUUGGGUUGUUUUUUUUUUUAGGGGUGGGGGGGUGGGGAAUCAGACUCUGGCGGCGACUCAAAAGGAGGAAUGAGAUGCAGCUUGCACUGUAUAGUCUGUCUGAGGAGCAGAAAUGAAUUAAAGACUGAAUGCGUGUCAGCACUGGAGGGGAAAGAGUGAUAUCAGACUAAAAAAAAAUGAAAAAUGAACGAGUGAGUGUACGAGAGAGAGAGAGAGAGGGGGGGGGGGGGAUGCUGCAUUACCUUAAAGCAGAACAAUCAGAUCUGUUCAUCUGCAAGCCGGAAGAAGGUGACGUGAAACUUUACACAGUGCGUGUUAUAUAUAUAUUUAUAUAAAAUAAGACGGAAAAACACUGUGGAGAAAAAAAGUCCCCGUACUGGACUACACGGCUGUGUUGACUGUCUUACUUUAUCCAUUUUCGUGUUCUGUUGAAUCAGCGUUACAGAUUUAGCAAGUUAAUAUGCUGAGGAGUAUGUUGAUCGAUCUAAAGCUAAUACUCGUGUAUGUACUGUGCACGCUGCAUUGUUUAGUGUUCAUGCUGUGGGCGGCCAUUUUGAUUUGCCGUCACUUGCUGAACUCUGGGUUGAGGAUUUCCCAAGUAGGAAUUCUAAAAUAUUCCCUAAUUCGAGUUACAACCUGUAGUCGAAUACACCUUAAAUCCAAUCAGUCACAAUGUAGCCACGCCCCCAAGAGCCCUUCACCCCAUCCUCCAUCUUUACUGCUGAGAAACACAAACAUGGCCGAACUCAAUGUUAAACGGCGUCGCCAGAUCGGCAUCGACAUCAGUAUCGCGCCGCGCCAUUUGUAUCCAUUUAAAGUCUCCGAGUUGUACGCUUCCUCAAGUUGCGGUCAAGAGAGUUGCCGAGAAACACCGAGAGGAUUGUAAACAUGUUUGCUUUGCAUAUUGGACCAGUGUGGUGUAUUACAUGCUUUUACGUUGCGUGUACAGGAAGAACUUUACGACUUCUGGUUGAUGCGUUGGUGUUUUUUUCUUUAAUAUACGUCUAUAAAAAUGGAUUACAAAACUUAAGACCAGCCAAUUGCACGUUUUUGUUUUUUUUAAUCAAGCCAUUCUCAUGUGUGUUCAUGAAACACUGCCGUACAGCGCAUCUGCAUAUUUCUCCUUACGCCGUGCCAGGAGUUUUAAAAUCCCCCUCGCUCACUCUCCAGCUACCGCGCCGGGACUCUGUGAGCCCAUUUUCCAUUUUCGUACACAGCGACGUUCACGCAAACUAAAAUAUCAGCCUGGCUAAAUAUAAAAGCGCUCCAGAUGGACAGAGUACAAUGGGACGUGACAACGGAUCGUGGACAGAUUUGACUCUCGGCUAACGUUCAGAAAUAGAAAGAAACGCUAAUUCAACAUGUUGCUAACGUUACGCUAACCUCGGAGAGAGACCUGUGGAAAAGAGACGACUGGUAACGACUCCAACCUGUGGAAAAGGGUCAUAGGGUCACGAAGGCCAUGUUAGUAAAAACGCUCACGUUAGUAAAGCAGAACGUUUCAUUUUAGCAGCAAGAAAACUGGUUUGUUGGAAAAGUGGAGCGCUAAGUUCGCCACCCACUGAUAAAUGUUACUAUGGCAACCAGUAGUAGGAUUGUCCUACUUCAUUAUCAUAGGACAAUCUGUCGGGGAUCCGUUUCAAUCAAUAUGGUUGAAAUGAAAUCUGUAAGAGUUGGUCUUGGACAGUGGGACAUGGAGCAGUGUGUAGAUGAGGCGUGAACACUGGGAGGGUAUUGAAUGUGAGAGUUGAGCUGCAGGGAGAAAAACAAGCCGGCUGAGUCGAGUGAGGUAAGGUGGCGAGUGACGCUGCAAUUCUCCGGCUACACACACACACACACACACACACACACACACACACACACACACACACACAAACAAUGACCUCGCAGAAAGUUCAGGCUCGGCCCGACUCUGCUUGCUGCAGGAGAUCGAUAAUGCCUUGAAGUGCCAAAAGCUGAGGCUGCCCUCCACACACACACACACACACACACACACACACACACACACACACAGUUUAUCAGCAUCUCAUCAGCAACUGAUUUCUAUUGUACAUUCUAGAAAAAGGUUUAUUGUAGUUCAAAUAAAUAAAAAAGCUAAAAAAAAACAAAAAAAUAAUUAAAAUUAUCCUUUAUAUUAUGUAUAUACACACACAGUGCUGACAACUAAUAUUGGCUCCCUUGGUAACUAUGAGCAAAGAAAGCUGUGAUAAAUUGUCUUUGUUUAACCUUUUGAUCUUUUGUUCCAAAAAAAAUUCACAGAAAUAC